AUUAGCUAGUUGGUGAGGCAACGGCCCACCAAGGCGACGAUCAGUAGCCGGCCUGAGAGGGCGAACGGCCACACUGGAACUGAGACACGGUCCAGACUCCUACGGGAGGCAGCAGUGGGGAAUUUUGCGCAAUGGGCGAAAGCCUGACGCAGCAACGCCGCGUGGAGGAUGAAGGCCUUCGGGUCGUAAACGGCUAACUCCGUGCCAGCAGCUGCGGUAAUACGGAGGUGGCAAGCGUUGUUCGGAAUUACUGGGCGUAAAGGGCGCGUAGGCGGCUUUACAAGUCAGAUGUGAAAGCCCCGGGCUUAACUCGGGAAUUGCAUCUGAAACUGUUUUGCUUGAGUCCUGGAGGGGGUAGUGGAAUUCCCAGUGUAGCGGUGAAAUGCGUAGAUAUUGGGAGGAACACCUGUGGCGAAGGCGGCUACCUGGACAGUGACUGACGCUGAUGCGCGAAAGCUAGGGGAGCAAACGGGAUUAGAUACCCCGGUAGUCCUAGCCGUAAACGAUGGGCACUUGGUGUCGGGGGUAUUGAGUCCCCCGGUGCCGGAGUUAACACGUUAAGUGCCCCGCCUGGGGAGUACGGUCGCAAG
rnacentral:rRNA from 1 species